ACGAACGCUGGCGGCGUGCUUCACACAUGCAAGUCGAACGCUGAAGCUUGGUGCUUGCACUGGGUGGAUGAGUGGCGAACGGGUGAGUAAUACGUGAGUAACCUGCCCUUGACUCUGGGAUAAGCCUGGGAAACUGGGUCUAAUACUGGAUACGACAUGUCACCGCAUGGUGGCGUGUGGAAAGGGUUUUACUGGUUUUGGAUGGGCUCACGGCCUAUCAGCUUGUUGGUGGGGUAAUGGCUCACCAAGGCGACGACGGGUAGCCGGCCUGAGAGGGUGACCGGCCACACUGGGACUGAGACACGGCCCAGACUCCUACGGGAGGCAGCAGUGGGGAAUAUUGCACAAUGGGCGAAAGCCUGAUGCAGCGACGCCGCGUGAGGGAUGACGGCCUUCGGGUUGUAAACCUCUUUCAGCACGGAAGAAGCGAAAGUGACGGUACGUGCAGAAGAAGCGCCGGCUAACUACGUG
rnacentral:rRNA from 1 species